UUGUGGCCACAUCACGUUGCAAUACUGGUUCCCAUAUGAUCACCGAAGUUAAACAGCAUCAGACCUGAUCAAUACCUCAAUGGUUGACCACUUGGGAAUACCAGGUGCU